UACGUAGGGGGCAAGCGUUGUCCGGAAUCAUUGGGCGUAAAGAGCGUGUAGGCGGCUCGGUAAGUCCGCUGUGAAAGUCCAGGGCUCAACCCUGGAAUGCCGGUGGAAACUGUCGGGCUAGAGUCCGGAAGAGGCGAGUGGAAUUCCCGGUGUAGCGGUGAAAUGCGCAGAUAUCAGGAGGAACACCAAUGGCGAAGGCAGCUCGCUGGGACGGUACUGACGCUGAGACGCGAAAGCGUGGGGAGCAAACAGG
rnacentral:rRNA from 1 species